rnacentral:tRNA from 1 species
ACUUUGGGAGUUGGAGGUAGAGGUUUGAGUCCUUUUUCUCUGAUAUGGAUCGAUGGUUUGUGUAUAAGUU